GACAGAGGUUGCAAACGUUGUUCGGAAUCACUGGGCAUAAAGCGCACGUAGGCGGUCUGUUAAGUCAGGUGUGAAAGCCCCCGGCUCAACCGGGGAACAGCAUUUGAUACUGGCAGACUCGAGGAUGGUAGGGGUGAGUGGAACUCCAGGUGGAGCGGUGAAAUGCGUAGAUAUCUGGAGGAACACCGGUGGCGAAAGCGGCUCACUGGACCAUUUCUGACGCUGAGGUGCGAAAGCUAGGGUAGCAAACGGG
rnacentral:rRNA from 1 species